AUCGCUUCUCGGCCUUUUGGCUAAGAUCAAGUGUAGUAUUUAUCUUGCCUUUUCCUACUUCAAAUUUUGUAAAUAUCUCAU
ensembl:snRNA U2 U2 spliceosomal RNA